rnacentral:rRNA from 1 species
UACAGAGGGUGCGAGCGUUAAUCGGAAUUACUGGGCGUAAAGGGUGUGUAGGUGGUUGGGUAAGUUAGAUGUGAAAUCCCCGGGCUUAACCUGGGAACUGCGUUUAAAACUGCUCAGCUAGAGUAUUGCAGAGGGUAGUGGAAUUUCCAGUGUAGCGGUGAAAUGCGUAGAUAUUGGAAGGAACACCAGUGGCGAAGGCGACUACCUGGGUAAAUACUGACACUGAGACACGAAAGCAUGGGGAGCAAACAGG